UACGGGGGGGGCAAGCGUUGUUCGGAAUUACUGGGCGUAAAGGGCUCGUAGGCGGCCAACUAAGUCGGAUGUGAAAUCCCCAAGCUUAACUUGGGAACUGCAUCCGAUACUGGAUGGCUUGAAUCCGGGAGAGGGAUGCAGAAUUCCAGGUGUAGCGGUGAAAUGCGUAGAUAUCUGGAGGAAUACCGGUGGCGAAGGCGGGAUCCUGGGCCAGUACUGACACUGAGGCGCGACAGCGUGGGGAGCAAACAGG
rnacentral:rRNA from 1 species